UCGAUCCUGUCAUAAAUUUGACGUUGUGUUAUUGUGGUGUUUUUUUUUCGAAAACAUGACUAAUAGUACAAAGUCUUAACAUAAAAUACGCGAUCUAGUAUAAUAUCUGUGGUUUAAAUUUGUUUUGAUUUAAAGAAAAGGUUUUGGUUUAUUGAAACUCGUGUUGCGAUAAUUGUUAGUGAUUCGUGUUUUGGACGUUAAGUGAGAGAUUCGAUAGCCAGAUGCUGUGAGAACUCGAGACCAGAACACGAAUGAUUUGGAACCACGACUAUACGAACGAUCGAUUACAAUACAAUAAAAUUUAAUCCGUACCUUAGAAAUGUGUUCAUUGAAACGAAAUUCGCUGCCUAUAGUUGAAAAAUUGUAAAUAUUGUGAUUAGCGUACUCGUGAUACGAUAUGCAAUUUUGAACGCGCUCGUAAGAAAGGGAUAGCGCGGGAAAAAGACAGAGAGCUGCGUCCAAAAAUAGUACGUUCAGAAAUAGUGAAAAAAUGUCGGGCUCAUCGUCAGUAGAGAAGGGUGAGGCGGCGGGAGCCCACGCCGCAUGGUGGACAACACCAUGGAAAACUAUGGCUGACCUAGCCGAAGCGGUUGAUGACCUCAUAUGUAGUUUCGACUAUAUGGACACAGCGAUGGACAAUCUAGUGAUGCUUAUAUUCAUAUGGAUACUAUUCUCCAUCGUCAUCCUCGGGAUCGCGAAAUGGGCUUACGGGAGGUUCAGCGCGAAGAGCGUAGAGGAAAAGACCGACAAGCCGAAGCCGAGCGAAGAUACGAAGAAGACAGCGAACGAAAUAAUCUCUAGCGCGGACAGCGUGCUUGCUACCAGUGCGAAGUUCAAAAGCGGCGCCUUCAAACCCUCGAAACCGACCAGUUUCGUGCCCGCGACGCCGCCGACGAAUAAAAGGAGACCGGGUCGUAUGUCACCCGGACCUGAACAGCUGACAUUAAAGAAGCACCAAAGCGUAAUUGUGCCCACCUGCACCGGUGCGGAUGCCGCGAGCGUUCAGUGGGUUAACGAAUUAUUGACGUGGUUAUAUAAUGAUCUUGUUAUUGUGAAUGAACUUGUGCAGCAAUGGAUUGUGUCCAUGAACGAUUUCUCCAAAAAGUCCGUCGAGGAGCAAGGCGUCGGGGUUGAAAUCGUACGAGCGCUGGAGAGCCACCCGCCAAGCCUAUCAAACAUAUUCUGUGAGUGCGACACUAAGGAUGACGUGACUAUAACAUCUGACUGCGAAGCAAUGCCCGCCUUCCAGUUGAAGGCUUUCAGUCAACGAGGUGAAAAAGUCGAAGUUUCUCACUACAGGGUUAAUGUUAACAAAUUCCGAGCUCGUCUCCACGUCACAUGCAUCACGGAUAAGCUGACUGGUGAAUUAAAGUGUGACGGAUGGCCAGACGUCAAAGUCGCCCUCGCACCGGUGGGCCCGUUAAGGCCGAACGCCGCUGAGAGCGACUUACAGCAGUUGAUUAGCGACAUCGUGGUGAGUGCGCUGCGCAACACGCACCUGUUCUUCACCUUCGCGGGCUACCCCACGUGCCCGCGCCUGCGCCGCCACCUGCCCGACGCCGCGCCGCGCCUGCCGCUGCACUACGACUCCAUGCUUCAUCAAGACCGUCAGAUGUACACUUCAACACCGAACUCCACAGCUGGAUGUAUCCAACUGCUUGGAGACAAGCGGCUGCUAGUGAAAGUGGUGGGGGCCAAGGACAUUGGUGGUAAAGCUGGAUGUAUUGCCCCCUACUGCGUGGUUGAGAUGGACGAGCCUCCGCAAAGGAAUCAAACUGCGUUCAAGAAGGACACCACCAGCCCACAGUGGGAGGAACAUUUCCUAUUUGAUCUCUCUCCACAAACAGCAGAACUGCUCUUCGAAGUGUACGACCGCAGUAGUCCCCCGUCUCCCGGAAACACGACUUCGCAACACAGGUUCCUAGGUCUGGGUCUGGUGGGUAUAGACGAGCUGCUGGCGGCGCCCUCUCAGAGGCAACAGAUCGGGCUCCAGACCAGGCCCAUGGAGGAGCAUGACGUCAGCGGGAGCCUCACUGUAGAGUUCCUAUUCAUCGAGGGCGCAGACAUACCAGAUAUAGGGUCGAAACCCUUUAAGAUCAAGGAGAGUCUUCGCACCGUCACUCCGCAGGGCAGACUGACCACGACCACCAAGACCACCUUCCAGCAGAACGGGCACGACGCCAGCCAACUCACGGAGUCAGCUCUCCGGGAGCUGGAGCUGAGUCCGACCAGCGCAGCCAACAAAUCCACGCUCAUCAUACACUCCGUUCAAAGGGAGCCGAUGAAGUCGAUAAAGGUGGAAUUAACGGACUCCGGCAAAUUCAUCGAGGUUGAAAGAGAAGCUAUGGAAAACAACCUUGAGAUCAGAGAUAAACCUAAAGAGAAACAUCCCACCCCUAAUCAAUCUCCCGCCAAAAGUGUGAGGAUAAAGGAAAAUGGCGCCAAAGCUAAUGGAGACACUGAGAUGGUAAAACAAGGCGAUUUCGUGAACCAGGAAGCUCCCCCAGAACCCUUGCCGAGGCAAAAGAGAAAACGUGACUUCUUUGGAACUAUUAAACGAAGAUUGGGUCGGUCGCGAACUCGUGGCCAGUCCCUAGAACAAGACGCGGAGAUGGAAAAUCAACGGAUACGCAGCAUCAGCGCUGAAAGAAACAGUCAUGAAAAAGCCUUAACACUGCCAAAUAGGAACGUAUAUUCCGCGGGAGCGUCGCCCGCGCAGUCUGGAGACGAGUCAAGGACGUCUAGAAGUAGAUCGUCCCUUAGCGAAGUCUCCGGAUUCAGUACAGCAUCAGCUCGUACCUUCAUCCAUGAGGCCUCUACCCUGGUUUUGGAGACCAUAGAGGCCGGUAUUAAGAAACACUACUUGGUACCACUGACAGUCGCACAAAGAUCAAGAUGGCGGCGGAAGGGUGUGAAACUGCAUAUUUAUAAUGAACAUACUUUCAUCGCUAAACAUCUUAGUGGUGGCACAGUAUGUGAGGUGUGCCACAAGACGGUAGCGCGCCGCCUCGGCAAGCAGGGCUACGAGUGCCGCGACUGCCGCAUGCGCGUGCACAAGCACUGCCACGUGCGCGUGCCCGAGCCCUGCGCGCGCUCCACCGUGCACGACAUGGAGCUAUCCAUGCUCCCAGUGUUAAGCGAAUAAACCAGCUAAGCAAGAAGACUGCAAGAAAAAUAAAACAAAAAAAAUACAAAAAAAUCAAAGCUAUUCAGGUCUAAAAACACUAAAGGCUUACAUCUCAUCACCUUACACGGACAAGAACAUAAGAAUGUUGUGAUCUUCGCCAGGCUUAAGCACAAAAUAUUAAAAACUAUAUACUUAAAUUAUUUAAUUUAUUAAGAUUAACGAAGUACAACACCCAUGUACUAUACUUAUACAUUGUAAAGGCUUUUUUACAAAUAUAUUUAUAAAUGUAAACAUUAUAUGAAAUUGUAUAUUAGCUGUAAGAAUAAAAAGUAGUUUCCCUUAUAAAAAUUUCUAAAAAAAAAAUUAUUCCCGCUUUAUCUCACAUAUUGGCGCGAAAGUUAGACUAGUUUAGGAAUCGCUAGAGCCCACCUUAAAAACCAUUUCCAAACGUUCACGUUACCAUUAAAAAAAAUUAUCACGCCAAAGUUACAAUCAUGGAGGAUUUAUUAAAAUCUCUACCUCAUUUCUUCGAAGUUACGACAAUACACAU